rnacentral:rRNA from 1 species
CAACCUGCCCACCACUUGGGGAUAACCUUGCGAAAGUAAGACUAAUACCCAAUGAUAUCUCUAGAAGACAUCUGAAAGAGAUUAAAGAUUCAUCGGUGAUGGAUGGGGAUGCGUCUGAUUAGCUUGUUGGCGGGGUAACGGCCCACCAAGGCAACGAUCAGUAGGGGUUCUGAGAGGAANGUCCCCCACAUUGGGACUGAGACACGGUCCAAACUCCUACGGGAGGCAGCAGUGAGGAAUAUUGGUCAAUGGACGAGAGUCUGAACCAGCCAAGUAGCGUGCAGGAAGACGGCCCUAUGGGUUGUAAACUGCUUUUAUAAGGGAAUAAAGUGAGAGUCGUGACUCUUUUUGCAUGUACCUUAUGAAUAAGGACCGGCUAAUUCCGUGCCAGCAGCCGCGGUAAUACGGAAGGUCCGGGCGUUAUCCGGAUUUAUUGGGUUUAAAGGGAGCGUAGGCCGGAGAUUAAGCGUGUUGUGAAAUGUAGACGCUCAACGUCUGCACUGCAGCGCGAACUGGUUUCCUUGAGUACGCACAAAGUGGGCGGAAUUCGUGGUGUAGCGGUGAAAUGCUNANAUAUCACGAAGAACUCCGAUUG